rnacentral:sRNA from 1 species
GCCAGGUCUAGUGGUGUACACCUGUAAUCCCAGCAACUUGGAAGGUUGAGGCAGGAGGAUCGCAAGUUCAAAGCCAGCCUCAGCAACCUAGCAAGGCCCAAAGCAACUUAGUGAGACCCUGUCUCAA